rnacentral:rRNA from 1 species
CCUACGUGAGGCUGCAGUGGGGGAUAUUGCACAAUGGGGGAAACCCUGAUGCAGCGACGCCGCGUGGGCGAAGAAGUAUUUCGGUAUGUAAAGCCCUAUCAGCCGGGAAGACGAAAUUACGGUACCUGAGUAAGAAGCCCCGGCUAAAUACGUGCCAGCAGCCGCGGUAAUACGUAGGGUGCAAGCGUUCUCCGGAUUUACUGGGUGUAAAGGGUGCGCAGGCGGCAUUGCAAGCCUGACGUGAAAGCCAUGGGCCUAACCGCGGGACUGCAUUGGGAACUACAGGGUUGGAGUGCAGGAGAGGUAGGCGGAAUUCCCAGUGGAGCGGUGAAAUGCGUAGAUAUGAGGAGGAACACCAGUGGCGAAGGCGGCCUACUGGACGGUGACUGACGCUGAGGCUCGAAAGCGUGGGGAGCAAACAGGAUUAGAUACCCCAGUAGUC